rnacentral:tRNA from 1 species
GCCUGGAUGGUUUAGUCGGUUAAACGUCCGACUUCGGCUCAGGUCAUGAUCUCACAGUUCGUGGGUUCGAUCCCCAUGUCACGCU